rnacentral:tRNA from 1 species
CCUGCAGUGGUGCAGUGAUAACACACACGCGUUCAAGGUGAAAGGAUCCGGGUUCAAACCCUGGCUGUGGUG